CAACGGUAGCGCAACUCCCUGUGAAAUUUUACGCAGCCUUCAAGAGAAAUUUUGAAGUGAAAAUUCCGGGAUAACGGUGAAACCCUAUUAUUAGGGCAAUACCGUGGGAACCCCGUUUAGGCGGGGGCGCCGUAGAGACUAGAUACCGGAGCGCCUAAGAUCAUUAUUUAUAGUGGUUACGGCGAUGAUAUAGUCCACCCCUAUUAGUAAUAGUAGG
rnacentral:ncRNA from 1 species